rnacentral:lncRNA from 1 species
GGAGAAAGCAAAGAAUGUCUUCUACAUAAGAGAUGCAUCUGGAAAACCUGUCGAGAUGAAGACGAUUGAAAGACUGCGUGAGGAAAUUGGACAGACGAUGAUGCUUAAUGUGAAGAAAGACCCAACAUCUGCAAAGGUACCUGAAACUGGUGGUCUGGCUAAGACAAGCUUUUUCUUUGGAGGCUUACUGGAAAAGUUCCUAACUUAAAAGUUCAUCUGUUGUGAGCUUACCUACUUAUAUAGAAGAAUAAAGCAAUUAAUUAUAAGUCAAACGCAUAAAUGUGGCAAGGUUUCCCUGUAAAAAUAUGUGUAGAUACAUUGGACAAUUAUCCUUGCCAGGAUAAACAAAGGGAAAAAGAUUGGAAGAAAAAAGAACCUGCCCCAUUCAGUCUUAUUCUGUGCUGAAGUGUGGAAUUAUCCGAUGACUGUGUGCUGUUCUUGCACAAUAAAAGAUGAAAGUAUGACUUUAGGAUUAAAACUUUGGUCCAGAAAUGCUACUAUUGAAGAUUGAACAAAGAAAGCCAAUACAUUUUAGUGUACUUGAUCUUGAUGUCUAUGUUGUGUAGUUGUAGCAGCCCAAAAAUGAGCUGCUGACAUUGUUGUGAUUUUAACCUUUAGCUCCUUCAGUUUAUUAGCUGGUUGAGUAUUUUCCCUUCAUUUGUCAGUUAACUGGAAGUAUGCUUAGGUCAAUGUUUGUAACUUUAAUUUUAAUUAGUUCCUCCUAUGCUAUCUACAUGCUAGUAGAAAAUAUAACAUUGGUCAAAUGUAAAAAUACCAAACAUUGAUCCAAUCUAGUUAAACUCCUUCAAGCAGGGGUAGAUACACCAGCUUCCUCUGACAGCUGUCUCGGGACAGCGCUUCUGUCACGAACCGAGCCGAGGCCAUCGCCGCGAUGGGUUUCCGAACCACGAAGGCCUGAGAGACCCCUUAGCAUACUAUCAUAAGCAUAAUCUAUACAUAAAUCAAAGUGUGGAAGAGAUAACAAAAUUCAAGUUGAUCCUAUGAUCAAUAUAUGUCAAUAAAGUUAUGUCAAUACAACACUCAAAUUCCGUCUACAAAGCCUCUACUGUCGAGAUGAAGACUAUUGAAAGACUGCGUGAGGAAAUUGGACAGACGAUGAUGCUUAAUGUGAAGAAAGACCCAACAUCUGCAAAGGUACCUGAAACUGGUGGUCCGGUUAAGACAAGCUUUUUCUUUGGAGGCUUACUGGAAAAGUUCCUAACUUAAAAGUUCAUCUGUUGUGAGCUUACCUACUUAUAUAGAAGAAUAAAGCACUUAAUUAUAAGUCAAACGCAUAAAUGUGGCAAGGUUUCCCUGUAAAAAUAUGUGUAGAUACAUUGGACAAUUAUCCUUGCCAGGAUAAACAAAGGGAAAAAGAUGGGAAGAAAAAAGAACCUGCCCCAUUCAGUCUUAUUCUGUGCUGAAGUGUGGAAUUAUCCAAUGACUGUGUGCUGCUCUUGCACAAUAAAAGAUGAAAGUAUGACUUUAGGAUUAAAACUUUGGUCCAGAAAUGCUACUAUUGAAGAUUGAACAAAGAAAGCCAAUACAUUUUAGUGUACUUGAUCUUGAUGUCUAUGUUGUGUAGUAGUAGCAGCCCAAAAAUGAGCUGCUGACAUUGUUGUGAUUUUAACCUUUAGCUCCUUCAGUUUAAUUUUUAGCUGGUUGAGUAUUUUCCCUUCAUUUGUCAGUUAAUUGGCAGUAUGCUUAGGUCAAUGUUUGUAACUUUAAUUUUAAUUAGGCCCUCCUAUGCUAUCUACAUGCUAGUAGAAAGUAAAACAUAGGUCAAAUGUAAAAAUACCAAACAUUGAUCCAAUCUAGUUAAACUCCUUCAAGCAGGGGUAGAUACACCAGCUUCCUCUGACAGCUGUCUCGGGACAGCGCUUCUGUCACGAACCGAGCCGAGGCCAUCGCCGUGAUGGGUAUUCCGAACCACGAAGGCCCCAGAGACCCCUUAGCAUACUAUCAUAAGCAUAAUCUAAACAUAAAUCAAAGUGCGGAAGAGAUAACAAAAUUCAAGUUGAUCCUAUGAUCAAUAUAUGUCAAUAACAACUCCAUUAUCGAUAAUUCAGCAACUCCAUUAACAACAACAACAAAAUCACUAAUCAAUCUUCACCAUUGAAGACAACAUCAAAGAAAGGAGAAACUCCAUUAAGCACAAAAUGAGUAACGAUUCUUCACCAUUGUCAACAACAUCAAAGAUGUGGAAAAAAAAUUCUUUCUUUUUUACAAAAUCAGUUAACUGAUUAAGAAAUCUUUUUUUCAUUUAUUAAUGGAGCUGCUGAUUCAACAACAAUUAACUUUUAAUACUCCCUCCGUCCCAUUUUAUGUGUCAUCAUUUCCUUUUUAGUUCGUCCCAAAAAGAAUGUCAUGUUUCCUUAUUUGGCAAAUAUUUAAAAACACAACUACACUUUUACCCUUAUUGGUCCCACUUAAUUAAAAAAAAAGAUAGAAACACAUUUUUUUAUAAAGGACAAUUUGGUAAAUAUUAUCAAGUCUUCCCUUAUUUCUUAAACUCCGUGCCCGAUCAAAUGGCGACACAUAAAAUGGGACGGAGGGAGUAAUGACCAUGAGUUUGCAUAAACCUUAUCGCUUUGAGAAAGACCCGACAUAAAAUGAAUCGAUAACAUAUAGAAAGCAUAGUUUCUUAGAACCAAACAUAAUGUGAGACAUGGAUUUAUGGAUCAUGAGCAUCAUAACAUAGAGCUUAAAUACUUGUAAGCUUGGAUUGUUAAGAGACAUUAUGUCUUCUAGUUUUGAGGUCGAAACAUGACAUAAGUGUAGGGAGAACUCAAACCUUAAGCAUAGGCAUUGAAGUAGGAGGAGUUUGCUUGAAUAGGAAUAGAUUUAUCAUGACUCUUCCCUAAAACUCGCCACAAUGACAUAAUUUAAGAACUACCUUAAUUCACCAUCUCCCUCUUAGAUCAAAGUCACAUUCCUAGAUUUACGGACAUAUCCUCUCAUCAGAUCUAUAAUCACAACUCUCAACACAAUUGCGGGGGAGGGGUAUCACUAUACAGUUGAACAUCAGACUCGCCCUCGCCCUGCCCUCGCCCUGAUAAACUAUAUAAGAAAAGUACUAACUUCUUGCUAAGACAUUCCUUCCAAGGGCACUACUCUCAACUUCGUCUAGCCUCCAAGCUUGAACUCUAACCUCACUGCCUUUCAACCUUAGUUUGGAAAUAAAGAGUGACCCUUUUGAGAGAAAGCGAAAGUUUUAAGGCUUAAAGACGGGCUAUGAAAAGAUUGGAUGGUUUAUAGGACAUAAAAGGACCAAGAUAACCUUAAUACACUUUAAAAACGAACUCCCGUCGACGAAAGAAGGGAGGUCCUUGGCAUGAAGCCCAAAGUGAACCUCCAGCUCUGCGGCGCGAAGCCCAAUGCAAAGCAGCAUCCGCGAUGCAUAGCCCAGUGCGAAGCUGAGGUAGUGAGCCGUCAUGGCUCCCUUGUGGUGCGAAGCCACUGUAAACUCACCUCUUUGCGACGCACAAUCUAAUUUCCAUGCCCAAACUUUCCCCAAUGCAUUAAAACCUAUCUCAGGACGUCUUAUAUUCAAUCUUGGGAUCACGUAAGCUCGUUUUAAGCACAAUUUAGACUCCACAAACACCCAACUGUUACAAACUCUUUGCUACAACACUAAUCCUCGUAUCCAUAUAUAUAUAUAUAUAUAUAUAUCAAAAAUUUUCACUCAAACUUCUUAUAAGUUGUCAACCUAGGCCCCUUUCACACAUUACAUCAAGCCUACUAAUUCAUUCCCACAAAUCUUGCAUCACAAUUCUUCAGUUAACAUUCUUAUCACCACAAUCCACAUCCAAAGUUCAAGCCUAGUUCCUAGCACCAAUCGUGUACCACCAAUGAGAUGUCCCACAUCAAAUGUGUAUGCAAAAAUUGGAACGAUCUUAUCAAAAACUCGAGUUCAUUGAAAAACACUUCAACAGUGAUGGUAAUCGUCUCCGUCUAACGAUUUGCAAGUUUGGUGUUAACAACCAGAAAGAUCCCAUAAAGAUUUUCGAUGCGUACUUGCUCCCUGAUAAAUAUUUACCGGAUGUGUCCCUACUCAUCAGCUGAUUUACCGUUGCGAUGAUGUUGGUGAUUUUAGAUGUAUUUAUGGUCCAAUUAAUGGCUUAUUCUUAUUAGAGAAAGGACAUUACAUAGAUAACGGUCGAUUUGUCUGAUGGAACCCUGCAACGAAAGAGUGUAGGCUUAUUCCUCGUGCUGUUUUCGAGGUACAAAAAUAUUUCGAAGACAACAAGCGUAGUGUUGGAAUAGGAAUAGACCUAGCGAAUCAUGAUUAUAAAAUCAUAUGGGUACGGUUAUUUUGGGAUGAUUUGCAGAGCGAUGUUUUCCUUAAGGUUUAUGCUGUUGUCUAUUCGACGAAAAAUAACUAAUGGAAGCACUUGGAGCCGAAUUUCUCACAUGAAUGUCAACUAUGUUUAUCCCAAAAUUGUACCUACAAGAAUGGUAUGUACUAUUGGAUUAGUACUAGCAGGAGGUUUUGCAAUAGAGAGAAAAACGUGUAUUUUAUUCGAACAUUUGAUUUUUCAACUGAAUUAUUCGGGCAAUUGGAAGGACCACCAAUUCCAGGUGACCAUUGGACAUCGUUAAUGUUACGAGGUAGUACACUUGCAACUAUGUCUAGUGAUGAUGUUACACAGGAAAUGACGGCUUGUUACGAUAUAUGGGUAAUGAUUCGAGAAAAUAAUUGGAUCAAAGUUUAUACUGUGAAUCCAUCAAUACCAUCACAUUGGCCUGUUGGGAUUUGGGAGUAUGACAAGUUUAUUUUUGAACACACACAAACUUGCAAGUUGGUGUUUUAUGAUCAAACAGCUAAACAACUUACAAGUUUUGGAUUUCAAUUUUUCGAACUAGGUUGUGGCUCCGAUUGGGCUAUGAGUUAUAAGGAGAGCUUAGUUCCGAUAAGUAAAGAAAAACCGACUGAGAAGGACAAUGUUGACCUCUUCUUGAUAAAGUUAUAAACAAGCACGAGCAACGAGUUAAAGUUCGAAAAAAGUCUUUUUUAUGAUUCGAUCAUUUAUAUGAUUGAGCUGUGAAAACUUUUGCAUAGAUACCCUACAUCAGAAUUCUAAGCUGAAUUAUUUUUGGUUGAAGAAUCUCUUUCUAGUUGCUUUGAAAUAAUUAGGAGAUUCUCGAAAUACGCAAUAUCCCGCUUAUGGAAUCAAAUCAAUAUGUUCUCCCGGAGAAAUGUGAGGAUGAUAUUGUAAAUGUAGAGGUCAAAUGUUUGAAUAUGGGUUUUUGUUCCUUAUUUUGCAGUAUUUUUUUUAUUUCUCUGAAAAGAAAAGUUCAAAUUUUUGCGAUCCAAAAAACAUGUUCAUCAGGAAGUAUUGAAAUAUUGAAAACUUCAGAAUCCUUACAAGAACUCUUAGAAAUUGCCAAACAAUUUUAUUACAAAUGGACUAGUCAGCUUCAAGGUGUGUUUGGAUAAAUAGUUGGUGAUAGUUCAAGUAGAAAACACAAACAUUUGAUAGUUCAGGCAGAAACCUCGCAAAAAUGUGAUACUUCAGGUGUGUUUUUGACCAUUAUCUCUUUAAUUAAUGGUGAUUAUAUUGAGGGUCCUACUAAUGAAGAUGCCUCAAUUUCAACCCAAAUUAUAGUUGCAUAAGGCAAUUAGGUUUAUAUCAAUUGCAAAUGAAUUCAACUAAUGAACAACGAGCUUGUUAGGCCAAGUUUUUACUUUUGCCAAGAUAGCUUUUUCAGAAAAUAUUUCCUGAGAGAUGCCGCUUAUGUUUGGCCAAUCAAUUGCUUUUCCUUGUAUUUGUUGAUUCAUUUGUCGUUUUGAUGAAUAACAAACAAAGUUUAUUUGUAAGGAAAUUACGAAGUUGGUCUAGUUAUUAAAUUAAUCAGAAAAAAUUGUUUUGAACAUCUAAAGAACAUAAGAUUCGAAUUGUCAUCACACAUAAAAGUCAUAUUAUUAACUAGGAAAGUUAGGCAGCAGUUGGAAUCAAGGAUCUAUUUAUUCAGCUAAAAGAUACAAUUUAUAAGUGGUGGAAUACUAAACUUAGACCACUACUUAUUACCGCACCUGUUUUUAUACUGUGUCAACUUUGGAAGAAAAGAAAUACCAUUAAACAUGGAGGUAAGUUGUCAAUUCAUGGCAUGAAACUUGAAGUGAAUAGGAAUAUCCAUCUUUUGGUAAGAUAAGGUAUCCUUCAUUUAGAAAUCUGCCUAAUAAUUAGUCUAUGUUGGUCAUGAUUCUGGAAGCUUACAAGCUUAGCAUUCAGGCUACUAUGGUAAACUGGAAACCCCUGAUCAUUGGUGUUAUCAACUGUAAUUCCGAUGGAGCAUCUAGAGGCAAUCCUGACCCUAGUGCUGGUGCUUUCUGUAAUAGAAAUAGUGAAGGUGAAUUCAUUUAUGCCAAUUCUUUCAAUUAUGGUAUAUUAACUAGCUUGGAGGCAGAAGUUUGUGCUUUUAAGAGGGGUUUGGAGUAUUGUGUCACUCUUAUCUUAAAGAAGAUCCUAGAUGGAGUUUGGGAAGUUCCUUGAAAGAUUGCAAUGGAUAUUAGGAGGAUUCUAUGGUAGAUGAAACAAUUUCAGGUGGAAGUGGUGCACACACAAAGGGAAGGAAACAAACUGCCAAAUUUUUUUGCUAACAAAGUUUUCUUGUUUGCAGGAUAUCAAAAUAGAGAAUAUAAAUCACUGCAGGAUAUUAUAGGCGGAGAAAAAAUAAUUGUAACAAUGGACAAGUACCAGAUACACUCAAUAAGGAUUGUCAAAUGCCAGAACAAUAAUUUUUAUAUCUAAAUGGCAACCAAGGUAGACUACAAUUCAGAUGUAAACAUAGAAGAUAAACAUCUACAUCGAUAAACAUCUAUAUCUAUUCCAAUCUAGAUCUAGAACAUAUUAAAAGUGUGAAGACCUUAGAAAAGUGAUUUGAAUUUUUUUGCCCUUCAUUAAAAGAUUCUGUAAUAGAUAAAAUCGUCUUUUCAUAUUUUUCUUCAAUUUAUAUUAUUGAAUAUUGACUACAAUAAAUACAUAAAAAAGUAAAAUGGAAAAGAUUUUCUACUUUAGUUGAAUUCCUAAAUUUAUGGCAAUAUUUUGUUAGAGAGAAUCCAACUUCAAAGAAAUUAUAUUAUAUAAAUAGGUUUUAAUAUUUUUUUUUUUUUAAAUUGACUAUUUUACAUAAAAUAGAUUAUUAAGACUCCUAAAAGAAGAAGAAAGAAAAUUCUUCCAAAAAUAAUUGCAAUGCGUGUAUUCCAAUUAAUAAAGGAUAGUAGACUUCAUAAAUAGAAAGGUACUAUUUUUUUAAGUUAGGAUUAUUAUUCUUUUGUUAUAAUAUUUUAGUUUAGAAGUUCUUGUAUUUCUUUCCUUUUUCCAAUUUUACAAGUCUUUUUUUAGGUUUAUACGUAUACAUUAUUUGGAUAAUAUUACUUUAUUGUGCUCGUAGCUUUGUUAUUGGGUAACUUUGUGAUUUUUCAAUUUUAAAUUUUUAUUUAUAUUACGUUUUGAUUUUAUUACUCAUAAAUAACAAAUCAUCCUUUUAUGUUUGUGAAUAGAUUAGUUAUUGGAUCUCUAAUAUAAUGUUUUAGUUUAAUUUCCAAGUUUCGAAUUUUCUUUUCUACUAUGCUGGUUUUGUUGAUCAAAACAUCUUUUCGUGUUUGUAUAUAUGUAACUUUCAUCAUUGAAUCUACAACGUAACUUUGUUGUUUCUAGGUUUCAAGUAACUUUCGUUAUUAAGUAACUUUGUGGCUUCUAUUCAAAUAAUAAGUUUAUGAAUUUUUGUGUAAAGAUUAGGUUUAAUUAUAUUGUUUUGAUAUCUUUAUUAUCAUAUUAUCUUGUUGUAAUUUACAUGUAGUAGAUAAAUAUCGGUCGGUUUUGAAAAAACUAUUUCAGUAAAAGAUUAGGCUUAAUUGCAUUAUUUUGAUGUCUCUACUUUGAGAAUUUUUUUAUUGUAUAAAGGUUAGAUUUGGUUGUAUUGUUUUGAUGUCACUAUUAUCGUAUUGUUUUAUUGUACUUGACAGGUGGCAGAUGAAUGUCGAUCGACUUUGAGGAAUUCUUUUUGCAAAAGUUAAGUUUAAUUAUAUUAUUUUAAUAUCUCUAUCAUCGUAGUAUUUUAUUGUACUUUAUAUGUGGUAGAUAAUCUAUUUCCAUUGGCUUUGAGAAUUUUUUUUUGGUAUAUGUUAGGUUUAAUCAAACAAAUUCUCCAUCUCUACAUGUUCAAAAAUAUUGAAUUUAAUUAUUAUCUCCUUUUUUAUUAUUUAAACAAAUAUUUUAUUUAGUAUAAUAUUUGAACUCAUUAAAUUGAGAUACACGCGCGAGACGCGUAUAACUAGACUAGUACAUACAAUGGCUCCGAAAUCAAGUCGAGGGACAAUGGAUUAGACAGGCAAUAGCAAAAAAUCGGGUUUUUUUAGUCAUCAACAUAAAAACAUGCAAACAAGUGCAUUUCAGGAUUUCGAUUAAGAUUUGCAUCUUACCUUCUCCGGAGUUAGUAGAAUCAACUGAAUCAGUACUCUUACGCAGUGGUAUCAGUUCCCCGUUGAGCUCAAUCUGUCGAGGGUAUGACUUAGUCGAUUUGGUUGCUAUAGAUGAUAGGUAAUUGAAGGGCAAAGUACGAACAACUCAAUUAGUCAGUCUUGUGCUAAGAAGAGUUGAAUAAGUCUUUCUAUGGCUCGAUUUCAUGGCAUUUGUGACACGUUGGUAAAUGUCCGAAAUGAAGUCCACCAUAACUCAGCUUUCGAACAAUUUUGGCAUUGUUUUCAUAGAUCUGUAGUUAUUUCGCACACACCGUCGGCAAUCAGAGCAGUCUCAGCGUCGCCAUAUCAGAAAAGACGAUGCUCAGUAUCCACAAUAUCUAGAGACUUCCUAGCUCCCUUUCUAUUAUUUUCAGAUUUUAGUAGUUGUCUUUUUGUUUUUUUU